rnacentral:rRNA from 1 species
UACGUAGGGUGCAAGCGUUGUCCGGAAUUAUUGGGCGUAAAGAGCUCGUAGGCGGUCUGUCGCGUCUGCUGUGAAAACCUAGGGCUUAACUCUGGGCGUGCAGUGGGUACGGGCAGGCUAGAGUGCGGUAGGGGGAGACUGGAAUUCCUGGUGUAGCGGUGAAAUGCGCAGAUAUCAGGAGGAACACCGGUGGCGAAGGCGGGUCUCUGGGCCGUAACUGACGCUGAGGAGCGAAAGCAUGGGGGAGCGAACAGG